AGUGACGGGCCGACGCUGUACAGUCACUUUGGCGCGCGGCAUGAUGGGAAGGCGGAAGCCACGCCAUUAUGGCAUUCUUUAGCUACGGGAAAUGCGUUCGCGUCUCGCGCUGUGCGAAAUAAUUUUCAACGUGUGAUUAGUUUUGUGCGCGGUGUAGAAAAAGGUGCGGCCCGUGCUUGUGUAUUACUCGUGCUCCACUUCAAAGCCAAGCGUUCGUACGCACUGCAAGAUGGAUCCACGGACGCUGAGACGAGCAGUUGCAACGUGCCCUGUGUCGGCGGUCGGUAGUACUGCCAUAAUGGAAAUUUUCAGGCAAAUGCCCAUUUAUUUGGUAUUUCUUAGCGAGUGUUGCCGCCUGAAAGCCGAGUUUGGUUUCAAGCCAACCUGGACAACUGCUGUAUGAGGCGCUGUUUCUCAGGAGGAUCAGUGGGAAGGCGUCAGGUCAUGCAGAUGAUAGCAUCAAUUUCACAAUGCCCAGCCUUGGUGCCCUCCAUCAAGAGCAAGCCACUUGCGUUCGCCUUCAGGCAGAUGGUUGAUGUCUUCUAGGAAGCAGUUGGGAAGACUACAUUGAUGCAAGAUUCCAGCAAUGCCAUGCGCUGCAUUUAUUGGUCAAGGUGCUCAGAGAAUGGAGUCCCUGCACCUCGUGGUGAAACGUGAAAAUUUUUUUUCUUUUGGAAAGCUAAACUUCAUUUACUGUACCAAUUGCAUUCUUGCAGCUCAGAUGUGUACUAUAUUUUUUCUAAUUUUGAAUCAAUUAAUAUUCACUGUUCAGUAUAAAAAUGACGUACAGUGUGAAGGACAAGGACUGUGAGAGACGACAUACACUGCGCUGACUUCCAACAAUAUUUUAUUGUGUUGCCACAUCGUGUGUUUAUACACAAGAAGGGUCAUGCGCAGAAAAUGAAAGGCAGUCACAAGGGGUGUUCUAACAGCAAGUCAUUGUACUAAGAACAUGGUCAUUUAAAAAAAUCACAAUUUCUAUCUGUGGAGAUACAAGACUUCACUAGGGGUCAGCGCGAUAGAGGGGGCACUAACGCACACACUACCCAUUUUUCUGGUGAAAUAAGCUUCAAUAAUGUAUCGGGUGAGCUGUGUCUCGCUAGAACUUGCGUAUCUUCAAAGAGGGGCAUGCAGCGGCAGUCCCGGCAAUGAAUGCCCAAGUGGCCUUGAACAGUGUUAUGGACGCUAUAGUGCACUCUUAAACGAUCAUUUAGGCACCUGCCUGUCCGUCCAACAUAUUUACUGCCUCAAAACGGGAAUAUGGUAAACCACAUUCGUUACACAUAUCGCAAAACGUUUUCUGUGCCCGACAGAGCAAGAACUCUGACACGAUUUAGGCGUGUUUACACGCUUACAGAGCUUUGCCAGCUUUACCGGGGCUGAGAAAAGGACUGGGAUUCCUGGAGGUUGCCAAAUCUUUUUUUAGCCUAUCGGAGACAUCAUGCACAUACAGUAGCACUGCGAACCAGUCUUUCAACCGGCUGGUUCCUUGACUGAGUGCGCUCAUCACGUUUUGUGCCCUUCAGAAGCUGUUCCGCUAUGGCUGAAAUUAAGGCCAAAGGGUAGCCAACCCAAAAAAGGCGAUCAACCUGUGCAGCAAGACUAUCUUGCAUUUCAUGUGAGCAAGAUUUAUUGAGGCUGUUAACGAGGCAAAUCUUUACAAUACCUCGUUUAACAAGCUUUGAAUGUGCAGAGUUAAAGAGCAAGAGUGACUUCUUCUCUGUUCAAAGCACUACCCACCUGUGUAUUUGUAAGGCACUGCCUGAGAUCAAGAAAGUGCAAAGAAUCAUCAGUGGAGACCUCAUUUGUUAGUUCUAGAGGCUGCAGCUCUUAAAGAUCUCCAAGUCUCCCAAGCAGCAGGCUCAAAAGCAUG